rnacentral:rRNA from 1 species
UGACGCUGGCGGCAGGCCUAACACAUGCAAGUCGAGCGGUAGAGAGAAGCUUGCUUCUCUUGAGAGCGGCGGACGGGUGAGUAAUGCCUAGGAAUCUGCCUGGUAGUGGGGGAUAACGUCCGGAAACGGACGCUAAUACCGCAUACGUCCUACGGGAGAAAGCAGGGGACCUUCGGGCCUUGCGCUAUCAGAUGAGCCUAGGUCGGAUUAGCUAGUUGGUGGGGUAAUGGCUCACCAAGGCGACGAUCCGUAACUGGUCUGAGAGGAUGAUCGGUCACACUGGAACUGAGACACGGUCCAGACUCCUACGGGAGGCAGCAGUGGGGAAUAUUGGACAAUGGGCGAAAGCCUGAUCCAGCCAUGCCGCGUGUGUGAAGAAGGUCUUCGGAUUGUAAAGCACUUUAAGUUGGGAGGAAGGGCAGUAAAUUAAUACUUUGCUGUUUUGACGUUACCCGACAGAAUAAGCACCGGCUAACUCUGUGCCAGCAGCCGCGGUAAU